rnacentral:lncRNA from 1 species
CCGCAUAGAACAUCUCAUAGAGAUUGCCUCCAUGGCCUGGAAGCUCAACCUGCGGAUCAAGAAACACUCUAGCCUGAGAUCCAUAAGGACAUGGAUGUGGCCUCGGUUCCCUGACUGGUGGUAAUAGGGGUCCCCGAAGAGGGGUGACUCCUCCUAUAGCUGGUCAGUCAACAUGGGUCGGAAGAUGGGUCCUAACAGGGUUCAGCAUCUCCAUAUCUCCGUACCUUGUCUGGACUACCGGUGCCAGCUGUGUGAAAGUCGUCCACAGACGGGCACGGGUAGCAUAAAGCUCCAUGCGGAGAGCACGAGCAUCCCUGUCUCUGUUCUCUAGCAUCUCAGCAGUGGACUGCAGUAGUGGAUCCUCCAUAGAAGAAUCAAAAUAGACUCCGCUGAGGUAUCCCUCUUCACCAGGCUGAGAGGCAGGAACAUAGCAGAACUCUGAAUUCUGCAGCAGUGCAUGUCUCGCCCUCAUAAUGGUCAGCAUUGAAUAGGUAGCAUCUUGUACUGCCGUGUCAACAGUGACUCCCAACCCAUAGGACCAAUGGAUUGGCACCUCAGCUCCAGGGUAGUCUGGAAAUACCCUAAUGGUGCAGAUAUACUGGCUCUGGUUGAAGUCUCGGUACUGUUCCUCCACUAUGUACUCGGGGUACCAGCGGUAACCACACACCGACAUCACCCUGACCAGCAUGGCCGUAUGACCCGGCACAUCAAUGCACUGGUGGGGAACGUAGCAUGGGAAACAAAAAAUUUCCUACGCGCACGAAGACCUAUCAUGGUGAUGUCCAUCUAUGAGAGGGGAUGUGUGAUCUACGUACCCUUGUAGACCGUACAGCAGAAGCGUUAGUGAACGCGGUUGAUGUAGUGGAACGUCCUCACGUCCCUCGAUCCGCCCCGCGAACCGUCCCGCGAUCAGUCCCAUGAUCUAGUGCCGAACGGAUGGCACCUCCGUGUUCAGCACACGUACAGCUCGAUGAUGAUCUCGGCCUUCUUGAUCCAGCAAGAGAGACGGAGAGGUAGAAGAGUUCUCCGGCAGUGUGACGGUGCUCCGGAGGUUGGUGAUGAUCUUGUCUCAGCAGGGCUCCGCCCGAGCUCCGCAGAAACGCGAUCUAGAGGAAAAACCGUGGAGGUAUGUGGUCGGGCUGCCGUGGAAAAGUCGUCUCAAAUCAGCCCUAAAACCUCCGUAUAUAUAGGGGGAAGAGGGGGAGCCUUGCCUUGGGGUCCAAGGACCCCUAAGGGUUUCGGCCGAGCCAAAGGGGGCAGCCCUCCCCUUCCAAACCGAGUCCAACUAGAUUUGGAAGGAGGAGUCCUUCCCCCUUUUCCCACCUCCUCUUUUUUUCUCUUUGAUUUUUCUUCCUAUGGCGCAUAGGGCUCUUUUGGGCUGUCCCACCAGCCCACUAAGGGCUGGUGCGCCACCCCCAAUGCCUAUGGGCUUCCCCGGGGUGGGUUGCCCCACCCCCCCCCCCGGUGAACUCCCGGAACCCAUACGUCAUUCCCGGUACAUUCCCGGUAACUCCGAAAACCUUCCGGUAAUCAAAUGAGGUCAUCCUAUAUAUCAAUCUUCGUUUCCGGACCAUUCUGGAAACCCUCGUGACGUCCGUGAUCUCAUCCGGGACUCCGAAUAACAUUCGGUAACCAACCAUAUAACUCAAAUACGCAUAAAACAACGUCGAACCUUAAGUGUGCAGACCCUGUGGGUUCGAGAACUAGGUAGACAUGACCCGAGAGACUCCUCGGUCAAUAUCCAAUAGCGGGACCUGGAUGCCCAUAUUGGAUCCUACAUAUUCUACGAAGAUCUUAUCGUUUGAACCUCAGUGCCAAGGAUUCAUAUAAUCCCCUAUGUCAUUCCCUUUGUCCUUCGGUAUGUUACUUGCCCGAGAUUCGAUCGUCAGUAUCCGCAUACCUAUUUCAAUCUCGUUUACCGGAAAGUCUCUUUACUCGUUCCGUAAUACAAGAUCCCGCAACUUACACUAAGUCACAUUGCUUGCAAGGCUUGUGUGUGAUGUUGUAUUACCGAGUGGGCUCUGAGAUACCUCUCCGUCACACGGAGUGACAAAUCCCAGUCUUGAUCCAUACUAACUCAACGAACACCUCCGGAGAUACCUGUAGAGCAUCUUUAUAGUCACCCAGUUACAUUGCGAUGUUUGAUACACACAAAGUAUUCCUCCGGUGUUAGUGAGUUAUAUGAUCUCAUUGUCAUAGGAACAAAUACUUGACACGCAGAAAAACAGUAGCAACAAAAUGACACGAUCAACAUGCUACGUCUAUUAGUUUGGGUCUAGUCCAUCACGUGAUUCUCCUAAUGACGUGAUCCAGUUAUCAAGAAACAACACCUUGUUCAUAAUCAGAAGACACUGACUAUCUUUGAUCAACUGGCUAGCCAACUAGAGGCUUGCUAGGGACAGUGUUUUGUCUAUAUAUCCACACAUGUAAAUGAGUCUUCAUUCAAUACAAUUAUAGCAUGGAUAAUAAACGAUUAUCUUGAUACAGGAAUUAUAAUAAUAACUAUAUUUAUUAUUGCCUCUAGGGAAUAAUUCCAACAGUCUCCCACUUGCACUAGAGUCAAUAAUCUAGCCCUCACAUCAUCAUGCGAAUUACAUUGUAAUAAAUCUAACACCCAUACAGUUCUGGUGUUGAUCAUGCUUUGCCCGUGGAAGAGGUUUAGUCAGUGGGUCUGCCACAUUCAGAUCCGUGUGCACUUUGCAUAUACUUACGUCCUCCCCUUCGAUGUAGUCGCGGAUGAGGUUGAAGCGUCGUUUGGUGUGUCUGGACUUCUUGUGAAACCGUGGUUCCUUUGCUAAGGCAAUGGCACCCGUGUUGUCACAGAACAAGGUUAUUGGUUUCAGUGCGCUUGGCACCACUCCAAGAUCCGUCAUCAACUCCUUCAUCCAGACACCCUCCUUAGCCGCCUCCGAGGCAGCCAUGUACUCCGCUUCACAUGUAGAAUCUGCUACGACGCUUUGCUUGGAACUGCACCAGCUUACCGCACCCCCAUUAAGAAUAAAUACGUAUCCGGUUUGUGACUUAGAGUCGUCCGGAUCUGUGUCAAAGCUUGCAUCGAUGUAACCUUUUACGGCGAGCUCUUCGUCACCUCCAUACAUGAGAAACAUCUCCUUAGUCCUUUUCAGGUACUUCAGGAUAUUCUUGACCGUCGUGCAGUGAUCCACUCCUGGAUUACUCUGGAACCUACCUGCCAUACUUAUGGCCAGGCUAACGUCCGGUCUAGUGCACAGCAUUGCAUACGUGAUAGAACCUAUGGCUGAAGCAUUGGGGACGGUGCGCAUAUGCUCUCUAUCCUCAUCAGUUGCUGGGCACUGAGUCUUACUCAAUCUCGUACCUGGUAAAACUGGCAAGAACCCUUUCCUGGACUGUUCCAUUUUGAACCUCUUCAAAACUUUAUCAAGGUAUGUGCUUUGUGAAAGUCCUAUCACUCGUUUUGAUCUAUCCCUGUAGAUCUUAAUGCCUAGAAUGUGAGCAGCUUCUCCUAGGUCCUUCAUAGAGAAACUUUUAUUCAAGUAAUCCUUUAUGCUCUCCAAAAACUCUACGUUGUUUCCAAUCAGCAAUAUGUCAUCCACAUAUAAUAUUAGAAACGCCACAGAGCUCCCACUCACUUUCUUGUAAAUACAAGAUUCUCCAACCACUUGUAUAAACCCAAAUGCUUUGAUCACCUCAUCAAAGCGUUUGUUCCAACUCCGAGAUGCUUGCACCAGUCCAUAAAUGGAUCGCUGGAGCUCGCACACCUUGUUAGCAUUCUUAGGAUCGACAAAACCUUCGGGUUGCAUCAUAUACAACUCUUCCUUAAGGAAACCGUUAAGGAACGCCGUUUUGACAUCCAUCUGCCAGAUUUCAUAAUCGAAAAAUGCAGCUAUUGCUAACAUGAUUCUGACGGACUUAAGCAUCGCUACGGGUGAGAAUGUCUCAUCGUAGUCAACUCCUUGAACUUGCGAAAAACCCUUUGCCACAAGUCGAGCAUUAUAAACGGUUACAUUGCCGUCAGCGUCCGUCUUCCUCUUAAAGAUCCAUUUGUUCUGAAUAGCCUUGCGGCCCUCAGGUAGUACUUCCAAAGUCCACACUCUGUUCUCAUACAUGGAUCCUAUCUCGGACUUCAUGGCUUCUAGCCAUUUGUUGGAAUCUGGGCCCACCAUUGCUUCUUCAUAAUUUGCAGGUUCAUUGUUGUCCAACAACAUGAUUGAUAAGACGGGAUUACCGUACCACUCUGGAGCAGCACGUGGUCUCGUCGACCUGCGUGGUUCGACAGAAACUUAAACCGGAGUUUCAUGAUCAUCAUCAUUAACUUCCUCCUCAACCGGCGUCGCAAUGACGAAGGUUUCCCCUUGCCCUGCGCCACCAUCCAGAGGGAUGAGAGGUUCGACAACCUCGUCAAGUUCUAUCUUCCUCCCACUCAAUUCUCUCGAGAGAAACUCCUUCUCGAGAAAAGCUCCGUUUUUAGCAACAAACACUUUGCCCUCGGAUUUGAGAUAGAAGGUGUACCCAACUGUCUCUUUUGGGUAACCUAUGAAGAUGCACUUUUCCGCUUUGGGUUCCAGCUUUUCAGGUUGAAGCCUUUUGACAUAAGCAUCACAUCCCCAAACUUUAAGAAACGACAACUUUGGCGUUUUGCCAUACCACAGUUCGUAUGGUGUCGUCUCAACGGAUUUUGAUGGUGCCCUAUUUAAAGUGAAUGCAGCUGUUUCUAAUGCAUAACCCCAAAACGAUAACGGCAAAUCGGUAAGAGACAUCAUAGAUCGCACCAUCUCUAAUAAAGUACGAUUACGACGUUCGGACACACCAUUACGCUGUGGUGUUCCAGGCGGUGUCAACUGUGAAACAAUUCCACAUUGUCUUAAGUGAGCACCAAACUCGAAACUCAGAUAUUCACCCCCACGAUCAGACCGUAGGAACUUGAUCUUCUUGUUACGAUGAUUUUCAACUUCACUCUGAAAUUGCUUGAACUUUUCAAAUGUUUCAGACUUGUGCUUCAUUAAGUAGACAUAACCAUAUCUACUCAAAUCGUCAGUGAAGGUGAGAAAAUAACGAUAUCUGCCGCGUGCCUCUACGCUCAUCGGACCACACACAUCGGUAUGUAUGAUUUCCAACAAGUCACUUGCACGCUCCAUUGUUCCGGAGAACGGAGUUUUAGUCAUCUUGCCCAUGAGGCAUGGUUCGCACGUGUCAAGUGAAUCAAAGUCAAGUGGCUCCAAAAGUCCAUCGGCAUGGAGUUUCUUCAUGCGCUUUACACCAAUAUGACCUAAGCGGCAGUGCCACAAAAAUAUGGCGCUAUCAUUGUUAACUCUAACUCUUUUGGUCUCAAUGUUAUGUAUGUGUGUAUUGCUAUCAAGAUUCAAUAUGAACAAUCCUCUCACAUUGGGUGCAUGACCAUAAAAGAUGUUACUCAUAGAAAUAGAACAACCAUUAUUCUCUGACUUAAAAGAGUAACCGUCUCGCAAUAAACAAGAUCCAGAUAUAAUGUUCAUGCUCAACGCAGGCACUAAAUAACAAUGAUUCAAGUUCAUAACUAAUCCUGAUGGUAACUGAAGUGAAACUGUGCCGACGGCGAUUGCAUCAACCUUGGAACCAUUUCCUACGCGCAUCGUCACUUCAUCUUUCGCCAGCCUUCGUCUAUUCCGCAGUUCCUGUUUCGAGUUGCAAAUAUGAGCAACAGAACCGGUAUGGAAUACCCAAGCACUACUACGAGAGCCGGUUAAGUACACAUCAAUAACAUGUAUAUCAAAUAUACCUGAUUUAUCUUUGGCCGCCUUCUUAUCAGCCAGAUACUUGGGGCAAUUGCGCUUCCAGUGACCCAUACCCUUGCAAUAGUAACACUCUGUUUCAGGCUUAGGUCCACCUUUGGGUUUCUUCGUCGGAUUGGCAACAGGCUUGCCGAUCUUCUUUGAUUUACCCUUCUUGCCUUUGCCGUUUCUCUUGAAACUAGUGGUCUUAUUCACCAUCAACACUUGAUGUUCUUUACGGAGUUCAGACUCUGCGACUUUCAGCAUCGCAAACAACUCGCCGGGUGACUUGUUCAUCCCUUGCAUGUUGUAGUUCAACACAAAGCCUUUAAAGCUUGGCGGCAGUGAUUGAGGGAUUCUGUUAGUGAUAGCCUCUUGCGGGAGUUCAAUCCCCAGCUCAGCUAGAUGGUUUAAGUACCCAGACAUUUUGAGCACAUGUUCACUGACAGACGAGUUCUCCUCCAUCUUGCAAGCAUAGAAUUUAUCGGAGGUCUCAUACCUCUCAAUCCGGGCGUUCUUCUGAAAGAUAAACUUCAACUCCUGGAACAUCUCAAAUGCUCCAUGACGCUCAAAGCGACGUUGAAGUCCCGGUUCUAAGCCAUACAAGACUGCACAUUGAACUACUGAGUAGUCCUCCUUACGUGCUAACCAAGCGUUCUUAACAUCCUGAUCAGCCGUAGCGGGUGGUUCAUCUCCUAGCGCAGCAUUAAGGACAUAAUCCGUCUUCCCAGCUUGUACGAUUAGCUUAAGAUUAUGAGCCCAGUCUACAAAGUUGCUUCCAUCAUCUUUCAACUUAGCUUUCUCUAGGAACGUAUUAAAAUUCAGGGUGACUGUCGCGUGAGCCAUGAUCUACAACACAAAUAUAUUCAAAGUGGACUUAGACUAUGUUCAAGAUAAUUAGAGUUUAACUUAAUCAAAUUAUUCGCUAAACUCCCACUCAAAAAGUACAUCUCUCUAGUCAUUUGAGUGGUUCAUGAUCCACUUACACUAGCUCAAGUCCGAUCAUCACGUGAGUUGAGUAUAGUUUCAGUGGUAAGCAUCCCUAUGCUAAUCAUAUCAUCUAUAUGAUUCAUGAUCGACCUUUCGAUCUCAUGUAUUUCGAGGCCAUGUCUGCACAUGCUAGGCUCGUCAAGCUUAACCCGAGUGUUCCGCGUGCGCAACUGUUUUGCACCCGUUGUAUGUGAACGUUGAGUCUAUCACACCCGAUCAUCACAUGGUGUCUCGAAACGACGAACUGUAGCAAUGGUGCACAGUCGGAGAGAACACAAUUUCGUCUUGAAACUUUAGUGAGAGAUCACCUCAUAAUGCUACCGUCGUUCUAAGCAAAAUAAGGUGCAUAAAAGGAUUAACAUCACAUGCAAUUCAUAAGUGACAUGAUAUGGCCAUCAUCACGUGCUCCUUGAUCUCCAUCACCAAAGCACCGGCACGAUCUUCUUGUCACCGGCGCCACACCAUGAUCUCCAUCAAUGUGUUGCCAUCGGGGUUGUCGUGCUACUCAUGCUAUUACUACUAAAGCUACAUCCUAGCAAAAUAGUAAACGCAUCUGCAAGCACAAACAUUAGUAUAAAGACAACCCUAUGGCUCCUGCCGGUUGUCGUACCAUCGACGUGCAAGUCGAUAUUAUCCAUUACAACAUGAUCAUCUCAUACAUCCAAUAUAUCACAUCACAUCGUUGGCCAUAUCACAUCACAAGCAUACCCUGCAAAAACAAGUUAGACGUCCUCUAAUUUUGUUGUUGCAUGUUUUACGUGGUGACCAUGGGUAUCUAGUAGGAUCGCAUCUUACUUACGCAAACACCACAACGGAGAUAUAUAAGUUGCUAUUUAACCUCAUCCAAGGACCUCCUCGGUCAAAUCCGAUUCAACUAAAGUUGGAGAAACUGACACCCGCCAGUCAUCUUUGAGCAACGGAGUUACUCCUAGAGAUGAAACCAGUCUCUCAUAAGCGUACGAGUAAUGUCGGUCCGAGCCGCUUCGAUCCAACAAUACCGCGGAAUCAAGAAAAGACUAAGGAGGGAAGCAAAACGCACAUCACCACCCACAAAAACUUUUGUAUUCUACUCGAGAAGACAUCUACGCAUGAACCUAGCUCAUGAUGCCACUGUUGGGGAACGUAGCAUGGGAAACAAAAAAUUUCCUACGCGCACGAAGACCUAUCAUGAUGAUGUCCAUCUACGAGAGGGGAUGUGUGAUCUACGUACCCUUGUAGACCGUACAGCAGAAGCGUUAGUGAACGCGGUUGAUGUAGUGGAACGUCCUCACGUCCCUCGAUCCGCCCCGCGAACCGUGCCGCGAUCAGUCCCACGAUCUAGUGCCGAACGGACGGCACCUCCGCGUUCAGCACACGUACAGCUCGACGAUGAUCUCGGCCUUCUUGAUCCAGCAAGAGAGAUGGAGAGGUAGAAGAGUUCUCCGACAGCGUGACGGUGCUCCGGAGGUUUGUGAUGAUCUUGUCUCAGGAGGGCUCCGCCCGAGCUCCGUAGAAACGCGAUCUAGAGGAAAAACCGUGGAGGUAUGUGGUCGGGCUGCCGUGGAAAAGUCAUCUCAAAUCAGCCCUAAAACCUCUGUAUAUAUAGGGGGAAGAGGGGGAGCCUUGCCUUGGGGUCCAAGGACCCCUAAGGGUUUCGGCCGAGCCAAAGGGGGCAGCCCUCCCCUUCCAAACCGAGUCCAACUAGGUUUGGAAGGAGGAGUCCUUCCCCCUUUUCCCACCUCCUCUUUUUUUUUCUCUUUCAUUUUUCUUCCAAUGGCGCAUAGGGCUCUUUUGGGCUGUCCCACCAUCCCACUAAGGGCUGGUGCACGACCCCCAAUGCCUAUGGGCUUCCCCAGGGUGGGUUGCCCCCCCCCCACCCCGAUGAACUCCCAGAACCCAUUCGUCAUUCCCGGUACAUUCCCGGUAACUCCGAAAACCUUCCGGUAAUCAAAUGAGGUCAUCCUAUAUAUCAAUCUUCGUUUCUGGACCAUUCCAGAAACCCUCGUGACGUCCGUGAUCUCAUCCGGGACUUCGAACAACAUUAGAUCACCAACCAUAUAACUCAAAUACGCAUAAAACAACGUCGAACCUUAAGUGUGCAGACCCUGCGGGUUCGAGAACUAUGUAGACAUGACCCGAGAGACUCGUCGGUCAAUAUCCAAUAGCGGGACCUGGAUGACCAUAUUGGAUCCUAUAUAUUCUACGAAGAUCUUAUCAUUUGAACCUCAGUGCCAAGGAUUCAUAUAAUCCCCUAUGUCAUUCCCUUUGUCCUUCGGUAUGUUACUUGCUCGAGAUUCGAUCGUCAGUAUCCGCAUACCUAUUUCAAUCUCGUUUACCGGCAAGUCUCUUUACUAGUUCCGUAAUACAAGAUCCCCCAACUUACACUAAGUAUAUUUCCACAAAUUUCACCGAUUCCACCAGAAUCAUAUAAAACAAAGACUACAUUUGUCGACACACAUUUCUUCUAAAAAUUGCUAAAACCUUUUGGGCCCUGAAGCAAAAUCCAUGGUAGAGCGCCUCUUGCACUCAUAUUGGUUCACAUAAGAGGAAGCAAGUAAUGAAGAAUAGUACUCGCUCAUCAAAGAGUGGUAUUUACCACAGUAAUGCCUACUACUCAUAAGUAUCUCCCAUAAGGAAUACUAAAAACUUCUCAUUUAAACAAACUCAAUGAGGUGGUGAGAAAGCGAGGCUUGUAGCAAAAGGGUUCACGCAGAGUCCCGACAUCAAAUUAUGAUGUAACAUACCCUCUUGGUAUGAGUGGAAUUAAGUUUCGAUAAUAAAUAUCAUUGGCAGUACAAAUAAUAUUAUCCAUGCAGUUAAUGGAUGCAGUGACUACAUACUCAUAUGGGUCACUCGUUUCGGAAAUUUAUAACGAAGUCCUUGAAGGGCUUACAAUUCCGAAUCCAAAAUAAAUUGCAACAUAUUUGUGUAAAAUUUCAGAAGUCACUCUAUGGCUUGAAAUAGUUGGAAAUCAUAUGGUACUACCGACUAAAUGAUUUUCUUCUUUCGAAGGAUUACUCAAAGAAUGAUGAUUGUUUAUGUGUAACAAAGGAAUCCCAAAUUUGAAUUCCUUAUAUCACCUCAGUGUAUAUCAAUGAUUUCAUCAUCAAUGUCUCUACAAGACCUAAACAUACAUAAAAUCAUCUCAAGACGAAAAAUUUGGAUUUAACCAAAUUUAGCUUAAGUUUACAACUUGAGCAUUCUCUCAAGAAUAAAUAUCAGUCUACAUAUAUCCAAAACAUAUACGAGAAGUUCUAUUUGGAUAUAUCAUAUCAAUAAAUGAUAUGUUGGUCAUACAACCCUAAUAGGAUACAAAUCCAUCCAUACCUAGGGGUGAUAAUGAAGUGAUAUCAGGACCUAAAGUUCUAUAUCUCACUAAUGUCAAAGCACUCAUAUACUUGCAAACUACGUCAGGCCUGACACUAUAUUUGCUAUCUUUAUUCGGAGUGCAACCCCAAACAAAAGGUAUAUGGUUGAUAUAAGUACUAUCAUCUUAUAUCUAAAGAUUACAGUAAUUCUUGAAUAUUUACAUCAAGAAAUAGAAGAUAUGACCAUGAUAUGAUGUAAUGAUAUUGGCUCUUUAUUUGAUCCAAAGAACGCCAUAUCAAUGAUUGAAUUUGCUAUAGUAGCCUACAUAUGGAAGUCAUGUAAAUAGCACUUUAAUGGUUAUUCCCACUUAUCAUUCUAAAAAAAUUGCUUUAUCUAAAAGCAUUUCAAGAUAUGUAUGGCUCGGCAGAAUGAUUAACCACACUCAAAAUCAUGUGGUUGAGAUUCAUCAGAAUCACAUAACUUGAUUUAUCAAGAUACUUCCACUUGUGUUACUCAAAUACCUAUAGGUUAUAUGAAGACCAAUAUCAUAAAUCACAUUGCUCGAAAAUUACUUAUCCUCACGGAUUAUAGAAAAGUGAGGAAAUAAUUUGCAAACAAAAUAUUGUUAUAAUCCAACAGAUUAUACACAAUCUCAUGUUCAUGUCCAUGAAAUUGGUAUGAGACAUCCUUCAUAUUUGCAAAGUUCAGCGGAAGUAAUCUCCCAAACUAUAACCUAUUAACAAUCAUGAGAUUGCAUAUAUUGUACUCUUUUCCCCUUGAUGAGUUUUCCCUAAUGGUUUUUCAUAAAAGGUUUUUAACGAGACAAUAUAAACACAAGUGUCUGUAUAUGUCAUAUCAUUUUCUCCUUAUAUUUUUCCCACUGGGUUUUAAAGGAGUUUCCAAUGGCAUGUCAGAUGCACUUUUUUCCUUUAUGAGUUUUCUCUCAAAAUUUCUCAUAAUGGUUUUAGUUGAGGAAAUAUGUUAUCAAACAUCAUAUGUUAUACUUUCUAUUUUCCCUAUCGGGGUUUUUAAAGGAAGUACUCAAGACAUAUUUAUUGUUCUCUAAACUCAAAGAUGAGUUUUAUCCUUCUACAAAGGUUUUCUAAAAUGAGUUAUCACGAGACAAUAAUCAUUAUAUGUUGUAUCAUUUUCUCCUUAUUUUUCCCAUAGGGUUUAAAGGAGUUUUAGCAACAUAUCUACAUUAUUCUCCCCAUAUUUUUCCCACAGGGUUUUUGGGGGAGACUCAAGAUUAUACAAAGGCUUUCAUAAGAUGAAGAUGAUGAACAUUCUCAAAGGCGCAUACAAAGAGAAGUCUUUAUCAAGAUGGUAUAUAUUGAUAGAGAAGCAUUGAUUAGGGGGAGUGUUAGGAAUUAAUUAAUUAUGUUAAUUAAAGGGUUAAUCCCUGCUGAUGUCGGUUCCACUUUUGGGAACCGCUCCUUUGUAACCGCCUUUGUACCAGGGUAUAUAUACCCACAAACUCAUCAAUGAAAGCAACCGUUCCAUUAUUUGAUCUUCCUCUCUUCUUUUAUUCUUUACACAUAUGACUUGUCCUCUUGAGGCAUGGGGUCCGGUUCUUCGCAGUUUUUCUGCGGGGGCGACGGCUGGCGUCACGCCCCGCGACCUGGGGGCGCUGGGGGCCUCCAGGGUGCUCCUUACUCCUAAGGAGAGUAGGCGCCCGGGGUGGGCGCUUGAGGCUCUUCUUCGUCGGGAGGGUCAGGCGGCAUUGCAUACUCCAGUACGUAGGGCUCCAUCUAGGCGUUUGAUCGACCUCCAAAGCCAUCCAGCAACACGAUGGUGGCGGUCCCCCUCAUCGGCGGAGGGUGAUCCCCCCGACCGUGUUGUUCAAAGAUCUUCCUGCAAUGGGCUUCCGCGCAAAGCCGCUUGUUCCUAUUGCCGUUGUUGGUUGGUCCGGGUGUUUCUCGGUGCAGACCCCCCUUGGUGCCCUGGCGUGUCUCUAUUGCCAUAGCUCGCCCACGCCGGCGCCUCCGCCGCCCGCUGCUGGCUGCGCCUCAGGGAGCGCUCCUGCCUGGCCGCUCCGGGUUGUCGGUGGCCGACCUGGUCUUGGUGAUGCGUGCCAGUGUGUGCAUCGAACGUGGUGUUGAGUGUAUUUGCUUUCCUGUUGGGAAUUAGCCCAAGCAACAAACUAAUGUUUGUUUGCUCGUAUGUUUGUCUAGCUCUCUGUCAAAUUUCAUGCCCAUAUAACUCCUAUGUCUAUCCUUUUGGAGGCUGCAAAAUGAUUCAGAGCAUAAGCGGCUGGUGAAAAUCUGUAAUUUUCACUAAGUCCUAAUCUGAUAUGUUUUGUCCAAGUUUAGGGCUGUAUAUCUUUUGAUGUGUGACCCCUUUGCUUUAGCUACUUGUUAGAGGUUAUAAUGAUGUUGGUUGGCUUCAGUUUCAUGUCUUAUUUGAAUUAAUUAGAGGGCUAUAGCUGCUAUAGAUCUUGUGGUUAAGGUGAUGUGAUGCUGUUAAAAACAGAUUGUGUGUCAACUUGUUUUGAGCUUGGUGUGAGCUAUGGUUGAUGGUUUUGUGUGUUCUUUAACACUAUACCAAUUGGAAUUUUAUGCUUGUUCAAAUGAAAACCUGGGUUCACUAGUGAGUGCCCAUAGAAUUAUGUUGUUGUUGUUCUUGUCUCCGUAGACCUUCAUAACUUGUUUUGUAGUUUCUGGUUGAACCGAAACUCCGUUCACGACGAUCUUUAUAGGUUUCUGUGUCGUUUUCUCGUGAUGCAUAUGAUUCUGCCAUGUUCAUGCAUGUUCAAAUCAUCCAUCUUGAGAUUCUGUCCAGAUUGGAUGAAACCUCAAGUGUUGCAUGUAGAAGCACUAUUUGGAGAUGUGAUGCAUUCUUCAUACCACACAUGCAUCAUGUUGUUUGUUGCAUCAUUUGAAGCUGUCGUUUAUUUGCUAUUAUUUUCUAUUUGGGUAGCAUCGGGAACGAAGAGCGGGUACGUGGAUUCUGGAGAGUUCGUGCAGGAAGAACAAGAGCAGUUCCAGUCUAAAGAAAUCACACGCAAGAUGAUCAUGAUCUUGACACCGUUUCUAGCUUUGUUAUGCUUAGUGUUACGUUUCCGUUGUUACAUCUCCACUGCCUACCACAUGAUAUAUAGGCCAUCAAACACUGCCAUGAAACCUCAAACACCUCUCCUCCUAGCAAAUAUUGUUUGGCUAAGUAGGCUUGCUCAACCACUAAUUGAUAACGUUGCUAGUUGCAGGUGCCAGCUGGCCCAUGUGAUAUCAUGGGCAAUUUGAUCUCAUUAUAUUUAACUGCUAUUUAAUUAAUGCACCUAUAUACUUGGUAAACAAUGGAAGGCCUAGCCUUUUGCCGAAUGAUUUGUUCAGUUAUUGCCGCCUUAGUUUCGGCGACCGGUGUUUUAUUCCCUAACUGAGUGUUCCGUUAAGACUUGUCUAGCAGCACCCAACUUUUGUGUUAAUAUGGUAAUAACUUAAUAAUAAAAACCAUGGGGAAUAGCUACCCCGAGGAAUCUAAUCAACCCCCGGGCCAGUGCUCCUCAUGAGUGUUGGUCCAACCCAGAGCCAUUUGCGGGGCCAACCCAGGGCAACCCGGGAGAUGUCUAUCACGCCACCGUACGCUGUGCUUAUCCGACGUGUCCUGAGACUGAGAUAUGCAGCUCUUAUCGGAUUCGUCGACACGUCAGGAGGUCUUGCCAGAUUUGUCUUACCUUAGCGAUAUAUCUUGCGCAUUGGGAUUUCGGUGAGACUUUGGGUCUUCUCAGAGUUGAGGUUUUCCUCCAAGGAAUCCGACGAGAUCACGAGUUUCGUGGUAGAGGAUUACUAUGCGACCUGUGGUAAUUUGUGAUGGACUAGUUUGAGCACCCCUUUAGGGUUUAAUCUUUCAAAAAGUCGUGCCCGCGGUUAUGUGACAAACAUGGAUAUUUUGUUAACAUCUGGUUCUAGACAACUUAAAGUAAUUCUAAUAAAAACUUGCCAACUGAGUGUGUAACCGUGACUGUCUCUUUCAGAGCUCCUUCUCUGAUCGAGACCACGGUGGGGUUAUGAAUGACGUAAGUAGGUGUUCAGGUUCACUUAGUGAUCAAUCUAGAUAUCAAUCAUCUUGCGUAGGCCACAUAUGAUAUCUCUGGUCAUCGUAAGAUAGCCACCAUAAAAGCUUAGGUUGCUGCAAACUCAUACACUUAACCUUCCUCACCCAUUUAACUCAGUUAGAUUUGAUACCAAGGUCAUAGAAUUGUUGAGUCCUCGUGGCUCACGGUUUACUACAAACACCGACAGGUACAGGUACCCCUGAUGCAGGAGUUCCCGAUGAGAUCUAGCUCAAGUGGGAGUUCGACGAGGACAGCGGCAGGCUGUACGUGACUUAUCCCGAGGACUAGAGGCCGUGGUCGUGAUCGUGGGGCCAGCAUGCGGGAUAUCAUAGCUUUACUGUUUAUCUUGUCCAUAGCUGGACCAUUCCAUGUUCUGAAUAGUGUGUGACUGUAUGAUUGUAUGACUAUGUUCUUUAUCAGAUGGCAAGUGUAUGCCCUACUUGUCACUCUUUCAGUUAUUGUAUUGUUAUGAUUAUCUUGCUUGUGAAACGCGUAGAUGCGCCUCUUUCACCUUUUGAGGCCCCGCCCCCAAAUAAGGAAAGGGCCGCAUCUUAGUCGUUAGAAGUUGGUAAUCAGAGCCUUGCGACCAUAGGAGCCUCGUGUGAUCGAACUUGGCCGAGUCAACUCUAGCAAAACUAUUUGAGUCUAAGUUAUAUCGGAGAGUAGGUUUCUUUUUUCUCCUCUUCUAUGCUCUGGUGAGGUUCAAGACUUAGGAAAUUUUAAUUCUACUCCUCUUCUCGCUCAAUUUUUCUUAGGAUCACGCGGAUAUUUUUGGAAUCUAUACGAUGUCGAUGUGACGGAGUUCUGUCUUGGUGCCUCCUGUCUGAUUUGAUUUCUUCUUGGGAAUUGAGCUCUAGGGGAUUCUUGAGCACAUCGCUAUCAUUCAGAUUUCUUAGUAUCUUAGGACGGAGGAUGUUCGAAAUUGCUUCAAUACUGGUAGUGACGAGAGGAGUCCGUCUUCCCCAGUACUAGUGCAGAUAGUUCCAGAUGUAUCGCCACACUUAGUAUCGUUGUGAUUACGAGGGUCUGAGAUAGACGAAGUUCCGAGAUUCAGGUUGUGUGUUGAAAGAUGUGAUACACUGGACGGGUUAGUAUAGGUGUUGAGUGAUAUAUUACUCCUUGUAUCCGUGGACCAGAUUGCAUGACCAGAAAUUUCGGGAGUUCUUAGGUGGGAUCUCAGGUAGUUACUUAUAGGACAAUCUUCCAACAGAUGCAUGAUGUGAGGUUGGGAUUCGACAUUCAGUGGAUCCGUUUGUUCACAGUCAUCUUAUAGUGGUUCUCGUUGUGUCUUAAAGAGUCCUUGUAACUUGCUACGACUCGGGGACACUUCGUAUGUCAUGUGCAUUACCUUGUACAUGAUGGCUACUAUAGGGUCGAGCCCAUGCGAUCAUAUCCACGAAGAUAUCGGAUGGACUCUUUGUCAUACAUUUGUUCCGAGAAAUCCUAGCUCAUACUUGGUCCGCGAGUGGCUUUUAAUCAGAUGUUGUCGACAGUUACUUUGAGGAAGCAAUCUUACUAAUUAUUGUUCGAAUGCAAUUGCUAAGUAUUCUUGUUCAGAUAUUUUUAUCUAUUGAUUCAGCUUUACCUUGAAUGUUAAUCUCUAGUUUAACGUGUUGUCCGUCUUCAGGAUGGGUCCACCGACUCGCCAGAAUCCGGGUCGUGAGGGUGUUGAUCCUCCACCGCCUCCUCCUCCGCCACCUCCUCCUCCUGAGGCAUGGCAACCGGUGAUGGCUGCAACAAAUGCUAACACUCAGAUUUUACUUCGGCUGUUGCAAGAGAGGAACAAUCAGCAACAGGGCAAUUUCAACCAUGGUGGUCAUUAGUUUGUAACUCCGAAUCAAUUCUUGGCGAACCAACCGAAGUCCUUCACGUCUUGUGACCAGCCAUUCGACGCUGAUGACUGGAUUCAUGACAUGAACAAGCACUUUGAGUGCAGUAAUGUGCGACCAGAGGACUUCGUCAAGUUUGCAACUUUUCAGCUCAAGGGACAGGCGGCAGAAUGGUGGCAAGAGUUGAGGGACUCCAGGGGCGACAGAAUGAUUAGGUGGGACAAUUUCUGCAGAGAUUUCAGGUGUCACUAUAUUCUGUCUAGCUUUGUGGAAGAGAUGCGUGAGAAGUUCAGACGGUUGAAGCAAGGAGUAUCUUUUGUGUGCAAGUACAAUGUCGAGUUCCAUGAGGUGGCUCAGUAUGCUAGACAGGACAUCCCAGAUCAAAAGAGCAAGAUCUGUCAGUUUAGAGGUGGUCUGAAGGAAGACUUGUAGUUGGCCCUUGCCUUGCACGACCCCGAUGAGUUCGAUAAGUUCUACAACUUGGCUCUUAGGGCUGAAGCAGCUUUGCUCAAAGAGGAGAAUUCGAGGAAGCAUUUCAGAGAUUUCAGUUCCUCGUCCUCAACUCAGGUGGUCCAGAAGCAACCGAAAUAUUGAGUGUCUCCUCCUCCUCGGCAGAUUCAGCAGUUCAAGCAGUCAGGUGGUCGUGGUUCUUCCCACCGACCCAACACAGCUUUCCAGCACAGGUUUCAGCCGCAGAAACAAGGGAAUCCUCAAGUGCAAUUUCGUCCGCUGUCAGAGGUGACUUGUCACAAGUGUGGGCAGAAGGGUCACUACUCCAACAAGUGCACCACUCAGCAGCGACUUCCGCCUCCUCCUCCGGUGAAGCAUCCAGGCAAUGCAAUGGUGAAGUUCAAUCCCAAGUCUGCGAGAGUCAAUAUGGUGAAUGCAGCAGAAGCAGAAAACUCUUCAGACGUGAUAAUGGGUAAUCUCUUGGUUAAUGAUAUUCCUGCAAAGGUUUUAUUUGAUUCUGGUGCAUCGCAUUCCUUCAUAUCCCGUCCAUUCUUUGCAAAGCAUGAUUUUGUUUCGAAGAUUUUCUUAAGCCUGUCUCAGUGGUUCCCCCUUGGGAUGUUGAUGAAUUCCAAUUGUUUGGUUCAGGAUGUCUCUGUCAAGAUGGGCGACUAUUCCUUUGCGGUUUCUCCAAUUGUCCUUAGCAAGUCUGAUAUUGAUCUGAUCCUUGGGAUGGAUUUGCUGGCUAUGAACAAGGCAUUUCUUGAUUGUCAAGCUAAAGAAGUCAAGCUAACUCAUCCUUCGGAGGACGUGAUUAUCUUCGCGGCGCGUGAUGACACGAUCCAUCUGUUUUCCUUGAAUGAGAAGGGUGAAAUCUCUCCAAUUUCUCAAGUCCCAAUGGUCUGCGAGUAUGAAGAUGUCUUUGCAGAAGAACUGUCAGGAAUGCCUCUGCACGGGGCAGUUGUGUUCGUAAUCGAGCUUGAACCGGGUACUGAACCAGUAUGCAAGCGGCCGUAUAAACUGGGUCUAGAAGAGCUGAAAGAGCUGAAGAAGCAGCUUGAUGAGAAAGAGCGUCUCGGUCUGAUCAGACCUAGCUCAUCUCCUUGGGGUUUUGGAGUUCUUUUUGUCAAGAAGAAGGAUGUCACGGACCAACUUUGUGUCGAUUACUGUACAUUGAAUAAGAAGACGAUCAGAAACAAGUAUCCACUUCCCAACAUCAAUGAGUUGUUCGAGCAAUUGAAAGGGGCUAAAAUCUUCUCUAAGCUUGAUCUCAGGAUGGGCUAUCAUCAGAUUCGCAUUCGUGAAGAGGACAUUCCCAAGACUGCCUUCAGGACAAGCUUUGGCACGUAUGAGUAGACAGUGAUGUCUUUCGGUCUCGCCAGUGCUCCACCGACCUUCUGUCGGAUGAUGAAUUAUAUCUUCUCCCCACUCAAGAAUGAAUUUGUCUUGUUGUAUCUUGAUGACAUUCUGGUCUUUUCUGAAACUGAGGAAGAGCAUGAAGAACAUCUCCGGCUUGUGCUUGAUAAGCUAAGAAAGCAUAAGUUCUAUGCUAACUUCUCUAAAUGUGAGUUAUGGUUGAAGGAAGUUGUGUACCUUGGGCACAUCAUCUCUGCCGAGGGCAUCAAAGUUGAUCCAUCAAAGGUGCAGGCCAUUGUUGAGUGGGAACCUCCUCAGGAUGUGAAGCAGCUUCGAAGCUUUCUCGGGCUUGCAAGCUAUUGUAGAAGAUUCGUUGAGAAUUUCUCUAAGAUUGCUAAGCCUCUGUCAAGCCUUCUUCAAAAGAGUGUGAAGUUUGUCUGGUCUCCAGAGUGUCAGUUGGCCUUCAACACACUACAAGAGAAGCUCACUUCUACUCCAGUCUUGACUCCUCCUGAUGAUUCCAAGUCUUAUCAAGUGUUCUGUGAUGCCUCUCUUCAAGGUCUUGGUGCAGUUCUGAUGCAAGAGAAGAAAGUGGUAGCUUAUACCUCGAGGCAGUUGAAGCCAAGUGUAAAGAAUUACCCCACUCAUGAUCUUGAGUUGGCGGCAGUGGUACAUGCUCUGAUGACUUGGAGACAUCUCUUGGUGGGCAGACAGGUUGAGGUAUACACCGAUCACAAGAGUCUCAAAUACAUCUUCACCCAGCCCAGUCUCAAUCUUCGGCAAACUCGUUGGGUGGAAAUGAUCCAAGAUUACAAUCCGAGCGUUGACUACACUCCAGGCAAAGCUAAUGUCAUUGCACAUGCUUUGAGCAGGAAGGCUUACUGCAACAGUCUCAUUCUGAAGCCUCUCCAGCCUGAUCUUUGUGAAUCUUUCAGGAAGCUCAACCUUCAGAUAGUACCUCAAGGAUUUCUUACUAAUCUCCAGAUUUCUCCUACCUUGGAAGACCAAGUCUGACAAGCUCAACUUCUUGAUGUGAUGGUGAAGAAAGUUCAGAUUGGCUUGGCAAAGAGCAUUUCGAAAUAUAAGUGCUUCCGUGUUGAUGACAGACAUACCUUGUUCUUCGAGGAUCGCCUUGUCGUUCCGAAAGGGGAGCUUAGAAUGGUUAUCAUGGAAGAAGCCCAUAAUUCCCUUCUCUCGAUACAUCCAGGAAGUUCUAAAAUGUAUCAGGAUAUGAAGCAGACCUUUUGGUGGACUCGCAUGAAACGUGAAAUUGCUUAGUUCGUGAAUGAGUGUGAUGUUUGUUGCAGAGUGAAAGCAGAGCAUUACCGUCCAGCAUGCCUCCUUCAUCCUUUGCCCAUACCCGAGUGGAAAUUCGGUCAUGUUGAGAUGGAUUUCGUCACUGAGUUUUCGAAGUCCAAGAAAGGAAACGAUGCUAUCUUCGUCGUCAUCGACAAGUUGAGGAAAGUCGCUCAUUUCCUUCCAGUCAAGGAGUCUAUCUCGGCUGCUCAGCUUGCAGAGUUGUAUACGUCAAGGAUAGUCUCAGUGCAUGGUGUUCCAAUGCUGAUAUCUUCGGAUCAUGGAAGCAUUUUCACUUCAAAGUUCUGGGAUUCAUUUCAGUCUGCGAUGGGUACUAAGAUACAUUUCAGCACAACUUUCCACCCUCAGACAAGUGGUCAAGUUGAGAGAGUCAAUCAGGUCCUCGAGGAUAUGCUCUGAGCCUGUGUGAUUUCGUUUGGCAUGGAGUGGGAAGACUGCCUACCAUUUGCCAAGUUCUCAUACAACAACAACUUUUAGGCAAGCUUAGGAAAGGCUCCAUUCGAGAUUCUUAAUGGCAGGAAGUGUCGUACCCCGCUCAAUUGGUCAGAGACCGGUGAGCGUCAGAUUCUUGGGAAUGACAUGAUUGCUGAAGCAGAAGAAAUGUGCCGUGUCAUUUGGGAUAAUCUCAAAGCAGCGCAGUCCCGUCAGAAGAGCUACUACGAUAACAAGCAUCAUGACAUGACUUUUUAGCUCGAUGAUUUCGUGUAUCUCAAAGUGUCUCCCAUGAAGGGUACUCAGCGCUUCGGCAUCAAAGGAAAGCUUGCUCCUCGUUUUGUUGGUCCUUUAAGAAUUGUUGGAAAGAGAGGCGAUCUUGCAUAUCAGUUAGAGCUUCCUUCCAACUUCUCAAAUGUGCAUGAUGUGUUUCACAUCUCUCAGCUCUGGAGAUGCUUCAAGACUCCCGAGCGCACGGUUGAUCUCCAGGAUAUCGACCUCCAGCCCGACCUAUCCUACCAUGAGCAUCCAGUUGUAGUUCUUGAAGUGACUGAGCGCAAGACCCGCAAUAAGUCAAUCAAGUUUCUCAAAGUGCAAUGGUCACAUCACUCAGACAAAGAAGCCACUUGGGAGCGCGAGGACCACUUCCUUUCCGAAUUUUUAGAGUUCUUCCAGUCCUAGAUCUCGGGUGGAGAUCCUCUUGUAGUGUGGGAGAGUUGUAACAUCCCAAGUGCUUUUUUCCUUCCCUUCUUGUAAUCCUUCCAUAUGUGACAUCUAUGUUGAGGCAAUGUUAUGGAGUUGAGGUUGUGGCUUUGUCAUUUCAUGUGCAUGUCAUGCAUCAUGCAUAUCAUAUAUGUUCCUUUUUGUUCGUCUUGAUCUUGUGUGUUGUGCCACCCUGGUAAUAUGUGUUUGCAUGUGUCUUGUGAUGUUCUUGUGGAGUGUGGUGUGGGUGCAACAAGAGCCCUUCAAAAAAUCUUAGUUGCACCAUGGACCAAAUAAAGCCACUCUCUCUUUUCUAACAUGGUGCAGAACUGAAGUUUCUAUUUUGGCCCAUUAAAAAUGUUCAACAUCUUUGAAAAACCUUUUAAAUAUUUGUGGGUGGCAACACUCACCUAUUUGAAUUAUUCUUCCUUUGUUUUUAUUUUAAAAACAGGGCCAAUUUCUAUUAAAACCAAUUUAUUUUGCUUUGCUCAAAAAUGCCCCACCUAUUUUUAUAAGUAGGGGGCUCAUUUUGUAUUUCCAAAAAGUAUUUUACCUUGUCAUAACCCCUUUCCUUUUCCUAGAAUUAUUUCUUUUCAAACUGGUUGUUUUUAAAAGGAUAGGCAGUGUUUAUUUUAAAAGCAGAUCGAGAGAGUUGGGCCAAUUUUCCUCUCUCAGACCUAUCUUCUCCUUACUGGCGCUGGCCCAUCUCCCCUUUCUCUCUUGCGUAGCCCACCAACGUCUUCUUUCUCCUCCCUGACGUCGUUCCUUCCCUUUCCCCCUUUUUUCGUCAGUAGCAGGGACGCACGAGAGAGUGGGUGCCACAUGGAACCUUCGCGGAUGUCGAGGCCGUCAGCCCCAUUGCCUAUUAAGCCUCCUCGGCGUGCGUGCCUUGAUAGGGUUCCCUCUCCCCGCGGCCACCUCUUUCCCCCUCAUUCGUUCCCCUGUGCAAGGUGAGAUCCAAAGAUUAUAGGCUUCAGUAGGUUUAGAGGGAGUCAGGCCAUCGUCGCCAUCGUUUCCCCUCGUCGCCGGUAGCUCCCCGUGGAGGCCAAGAUGGGGACGAGGAUGCAGGAGGCAUCCCUGUUCCAUUCCUGCCGCUAGGACGACAGCCCCCCUCCCCGGCAUCUCCUCCACAUCAACAUCGUCAGAGCGGAGCAGCAGGUCGUUGCAGGCCGCCCCACCUCUUCUUCCUCUUCUUGGCUCCCGAGCUCGUCUCCGAAACCCCCCCAGGGUGAGCGCCAUCUCCUCCUCUUCCUUCCCCGCGCAUAGGAUCUCCUCUCUGCACAUGUUCAUCGCCGGCAUCGAGCUCCGCUUGGCCCGGUGCAGUAGCCCCGUCGCGCAGCCGUCGUGGGCUACCUCCUAGUGGGUUAUCCCCGGGAAUGGAUCCCCAGGGACCCCGCAUCCCUCGUCGGUGGUUAGAUUUCCGGAUAGGCACCGGAGUGUUUGUCGGCGUGCCUCCCCUAUUCCGGCCGCCGCGGUAGGUGCAGAGUUAGAGGAGCCUGUCCAAAAGGGCAACACCCCCUCCUCUGUUGAGUGUCGAUGGCAUAACAUAGUGGUAGCAUGCGUGCGUGGAGUGCAGGUGGGCGUGUGUUCGAUCCCCCCUCGCUGCACCUUUUAUUUUUGUCACUUGAUUCCUCAAUGCAGACUUAGCAAUAUUUUCUAAGUGUUGAAGCUAAGAUUUCAUGCCCUGAUUUGAGCUUGGUUCGAAGUGAGGUGUUGUUCUUUUGAGGCUGCACCAAUGGAACAAAUGGUAGUGGGUGAACCCCUCUACAACUUGGUGCCAUAAUUUUGUUCAUAGGAAUUUGCAUGUUAGAUUUAUACCUUGUCAAAGUGGGCACUUGGUUGAAAAUGACAGAUUGUGAAAAGCUGUAAUUUUCACUAAGUCUAGUGAUCUGAUGUUAUUUUCUUGCCGUGUGGUGUUGAGUGUAUUUGCUUUCCUGUUCGGAAUUAGCCCAAGCAACAAACUAAUUUUUGUUUGCUGGUAUGUUUGUCUAGCUCUCUGUCAAAUUUCAUGCCCAGCUAACUCCUAUGUCUAUCAUUUUGGAGGCUGCCAAAAUGCUUCAGAGCAUAAGCGGCUCGUGAAAAUCUGUAAUUUUCACUAAGUCCUAAUCUGAUAUGUUUUGUCCAAGUUUAAGGUUGUAUAUCUUUUGAUGUGUGACCCCUUUGCCUUAGCUACUUGUUAGAGGUUGUAAUGUUGUUGGUUGGCUUCAGUUUGAUGUCUUAUUUGAAUUAAUUAGAGGGAUGUAGCUGCUAUAGAUCUUGUGGUUAAGGUGAUGUGGUGCUGUUAAAAACAGAUUGUGUGUCAACUUGUUUUGAGCUUGGUGUGAGCUAUGGUUGAUGGUUUUGUGUGUUCUUUAACACUAUACCAAUUAGCAUUUGAUGCUUGUUCAAAUAGAAACCUGGGUUCACCAGUGAGUGCCCAUAGAAUUAUGUUGUUGUUGUUCUUGUCUCCGUAGACCUUCGUAACUUGUUUUGUAGUUUCCGAUUGAACCGAAACUCCGUUCACGACGUUCUUUAUAGGUUUUUGCGUCAUUUUCUCGUGAUGCAUAUGAUUCUGCCAUGUUCAUUCAUGUUCAACUCAUCCAUCUUGAGGUUUUGUCCAGAUUCAAUGAAACCUCAAGUGUUGCAUGUAGAAGCACUAUUUGGAGAUGGGAUGCAUUCUUCAUACCACGCAUGCAUCAUGUUGUCUGUUGCAUCAUUUGAAGCCGUCGUUUAUUUUUUAUUAUUUUCUUUUUGGGAAGUAUUGGGAACGGAGAGCGAGUACGUGGAUUCCGGAGAGUUCAUGCACGAAGAACAAGAGCAGUUCCAGUCUGAAGAAACCACAUGCAAGAUGAUCAUGACCUUGACAUCGUUUCUAGCUUUGUUAUGCUUAGUGUUACGUUUCCGUCGUUACAUCUCCGCUGCCUAGCACAUGAUAUAUAGGCCAUCAAACACUGCCAUGAAACCUCAACCACCUCUCCUCCUAGCAAAUAUUGUUUGGCUAAGUAGGCUUGCUCAACCACUAAUUGAUAGCGUUGCUAGUUGCAGGUGCGAGCUGGACCAUGUGAUAACAUGGGCAAUUUGAUAUCAUUAUAUUUAAUUGCUAUUUAAUUAAUGCACCUAUAUACUAGGUAAAUAACGGAAGGCCUAGCCUUUUGCCGGGUGAUUUGUUCCGUUAUUGCCGCCUUAGUUUUGGCUACCGGUGUUUUAUUCCAUAACUGAGUGCUCCUAACACGUUCGGGGUUGUUAUGGGGACCCCCUCGAUAAAUCGUAUAGUGCUAAGACUUGUCUGGCAGGACCCAACAUUGGUGUUAAUCUGGUAAUAACUUAAUAAUAAAAAACAUAGGGAAUAGCUACCUCGAGGAAUCUAAUCAACCCCCGGGCCAGUGCUCCUCAUGAGUGUUGGUCCAACCGAGAGCCGUUUGCGGGGCCAACCCAGGGCAACCCGGGAGAUGUCUAUCAGGCCACCGUAUGUUGUGCUUCUCCGACAUUUCCUGAGACUGAGAUACACGGCUCUUAUCGGGUUCGUCGACACGUCGGGAGGUCUUGCCAGAUUUGUCUUACCUUAGUGAUAUAUCUUGCGCAUUGGGAUUCCGGUGAGACUUUGGGUCUUCUCAGAGUUGAGGUUUUCCUCUACGGAAUCCGACGAGAUCACGAGUUUCGUGGUAGAGGAUUACUAUGCGGCCUGUGGUAAUUUGUGAUGGACUAGUUGGAGCACCCCAGCAGGGUUUAAUCUUUCAGAAAGCCGUGCCCGUGGCCAUGUGGCAAAAUGGAUAUUUUAUUAACAUCCGGUUUUAGACAAAUUAAAGUAAUUAUAAUAAAAACUUGCCAACCGAGUGUGUAACCGUGAUUGUCUCUUUGAGUGCUCCUUCUCUUAUCGAGAACAUAGUGGGGUUAUGAAUGACGUAAUUAGGUGUUCAGGGUCACUUAGUGAUCAAUCUAGAUAUCGACUGUCUUGCGUAGGCCACAUGUGAUAACUCUGUUCAUCGUAAGAUAGCCACCAUAAAAGCUUAGGUUGCUGCAAACUCAUACACUUAACCUUCCUCAGCCAUUUAACUGAGUUAGAUUCGAUACCAAGGUCAUAGGAUUGCUGAGUCCUCGUGGCUCACGGUUUACUACAAACACCCACAGGUAUAGGUACCCCUGAUGCAGGAGUUCCCGAUGACAACCAGCUAAAGUGGGAGUUCGAUGAGGACAGCGGCAGGAUGUACGUGACUUAUCCCAAGGACUAGAGGCUGUGGUUGUGAUCGUGGGGCCAACAUGCAGGAUAUCAUAGCUUUACUAUUUAUCUUGUCCGUAGCUCGACCAUUCCAUGUUCUGAAUAAUGUGUGACUGUAUGACUGUAUGACUAUGUUCUUUAUCAGAUGGCAAGUGUAUGCCCUACUUGUCACUCUUUCAGUUAUUGUAUUGUUAUGAUUAUCUCGCUUGCGAAACGCGUAGAUGCGCCUCUUUCCCCUUUUGAGGCCUCGCCCCCAAAUAAGGAAAGGGCCGCAUCUUAGUCAUUACAAGUUGGUAAUCAGAGCCUUACGUGUAGCUCGCUGACGAUCUCCUCCUUCUUGAUCCAGCAAGAGAGACGAAUAGGUAGCUGAAUUCUAUGGCAACAUGAUGGUGUGGCGGUGAUGGUGUAGGAGCUACUCCGGUAGGGCUUCGCCGUACCGUACCGAACUAGCUAUAGGGUGUCACGAAGUGGUGGAGGGAGAGAGGGCUGCGCCUUGGCUUGAGGUGCCAAAAGCCUCUCUCACCUCCACUAUAUAUAAGUGGAGGGAGGAGUGGUGCCCUAGGGAAAACCCUAGGGACUUGGCCGGUGCAACAAAUAGGAGAGGAGGAGUCCUACUUCAAUACAAAUUGGAGGAGGAGUCCCCUUCCUCAAUUCGGUUUGGCCCCCACCUCUCUUUCCUUCUUCCCUUGGCCGAAUAGGCACACUUGGGCUGUCCACCAGCCCACCAAGGGCAGGUGCACCACCCUUGGGCCUGUUUGAUCCCCUCAUGGGUGGGUGGCCCCUCACGGUGAAACUCCGGAACCGAUUCAUCAUUGUUGGUACUUUACCAGUAAUGGCCGAAAAUCUUCCGGAAGCCUAAUGUAUGCUUCCUAUAUAUCAAUCUUCGUCUCCGGACCAUUCUGGAAACCCUCAUGAGGUCUGGGGUCUCAUCCUUGACUCCGAACAACAUUCGGUUACCAACAUCAAUAAUUAAACUAUACUGAAGCGUCACUAAACCUUAAGUGUACAGACCCCGCGGGUUCGAGAACUAUGUAGACAUGACCUGAGACACUCUCCGGUCAAUAACCAAUAGCAGGACCUGGAUGUCCAUAUUGGCUCCUACAUAUUGUACAAAGAUCUUUAUCGGUUAAACCACUACGUCAAGGAUUCUGUUAAUCCCGUAUCACAUGCCCUUUGUCCUUGGUAUGUUACUUUCCCGAGAUUCGAUCGUCGGUAUCUCUAUACCUAUUUCAAUCUCGUUACCGGCAAGUCUCUUUACUCAUUGUGGGGACCCCGACUUACAAGUCGAGAUCGCCGAAUGGACGUGCUUAGUGAUCCCACAGAUCAAUGCUCACUGAACACACAAAUACUGAAUAUUAAGAGUCUUACAUCCAACAUACCAUUUGAUACAACAAAUGACCAUCAUGGUCAAGUCUCACAUAGAUAGGGCCUAUAAGGCCAAUCACACCGAUACAACUACUAGCGGAAAUCUUGGUAGUAAACGGCAGCCCAUGCCAUCAGCCUUCACCAACAGGCAUUAUGGCUGGGAAGCGUCCUAGUUCGCGUGUCCGUCUCCGAUGAUGAAUUCUUCUCCGUACUACGAUUCCUCCAUGCCCGGUCAAUAACAUAACCAGUGGCAAGCCAGUGAGUACUUUGAAUGUACUCGCAAACAGACCAUGAUUUUGAUAAUACAGUUGGUGCAAGCAUAAAGUAAUAUCAGACUUUGUGGAAAGCAAGCUCUACUUAAGAAUAUGGCUGGUUAAUUACUUGUAUGGAUAUACAUCAUAAGCUAGAUGGUAAACAUAAGAACAUGUUACAGAUUUCAACAUAUCUGCUAAGGGCUGAACACUUCGGGUUCACCCGAUAUGCCAAGUCACCAAACUUGACCAUAUCAACUUUCUAUGAAAACACCUUUAAACACACACACACACACACACACUUGUUUUAUGCGGAAACGACUAGACGUUGUUUAAGCAGCACCACCCAACUGUCCUUGACCGUGGACACGGCUAUUCGAAUAGUUUUACACUCUGCACAUGUUGUACGCUAUACCCACGAGAUCCGAGAAACUUCCAUGUCAUCCAUGACUCGCGGUAUAUAACAUACCCGAGGGAAGUACCUGGUCAUCGUCUUUCCCCUGAUGACACUAGACAAAGAGUUCCACUCGAUUGGUACCCAGCCCACAUGAUGUACGUCUUACGAGCACCAACUCUGGACCGUAUCAUCCAUGCAGGGACCAAUGGUGUGACCGGCACAUGUAAAAACGACAUAGUCGACCUACCUGGUACGACACCAUCACGAGAGUGACCACAUAUCACUCCCGCGACUAGUAAUGUGGCCUCUUUGCUAGCACCAACCAAUGUAAUCAACAAAGCCCCGUCCCAUUGAGGGGUAUCAUGGUCGCACAUGUAAGGUUGGGAUGGUCGACACAUCAUAAAUCUAAUCCCAUUUCCGAAACCACUCACACAAAAUAUUCCCGGUGCACCACUUCUUCACAAGUGGCCACCUAACUCAUGAUCGCCCUCGGGCAUUAGUGGCACCCGACGGGGUAUUCGUAAAACCUUGAUAUCAACUCUGUGUUACCAUCGUCAUGCACAUGCUCUUUGAGUAGCACUGCUACUACUACUACUUGUCAACAUAUUAUCAGCGUGACCCUCAUAGAUGGUAGGGUCAAGCUUAAUGCAAGUGCUCCGGAGGAGCCAUUAGUAACACCAUGCUGGGGUGCACCGUUCAUUCUUAACUAUAUACAUCAGAGUAGAAUAACUAAUGUGUCAUGCAUAGAGAUAUUUCUUAGAUAUGGUCAAAUGGCUGCUUGCCUUGAUCAGCUAGGUACCCUGGGUCUUCGGGGUCUUCGAGUCCAACUCCUUCAUCGAACGCGGAAUCUAUCAUCGUAAUAGUAAUAAAAUAAGAAGCUCAUUCAAAAACAGAGCACAAACUCACUUUAAAAAUGUUAUCCUAUUCUAAUAAAUCUAUAUUAUAUUUUUUAAAAUACUAGUCUCUGGUUUUUAUGUAAAAGAGUAUUUUUAAAACCUAAAUAACAAAGGCUAAAAUAUUUAAACUAGGCAUUUUAAUCAAAGCUAUGUGUAAAAGUUUUUACAAAAUUUGGUGCAAUAGCACUAAUAAAUUCUACACAUUUUUAGAAGAUUUGUGGUGGAGAAAUAUUUAAAUUUGAUUAAAUAUUUAAUUCUACAAAAAUAAUUUAUAAUCAAAAUCAAAAGAAAAAGGAAAAAGGGGCUUAACCCUCGCUUGGCUCGGCUAGUGGGUGGGCCGGCCCAACUGGCUGAUACGUCCCAAACGUAUCUAUAAUUUCUGCUUGUUCCAUGAUCUUUUGGGUGACAUUAUUAUAUGUUUUGCUACACUUUUAUAUCAUUUUACACAUAUUUGGACUAACCUACUAACUCAGUGCACCCAGUGCCAGCCUCUGUCUGCGGAUGUCUAUUUUGCAUGGGCUUUUACCCAAUUUUCCGAAGCCCAAAAAAUUCCAGGAAAAUAUAUAAAAAAUCGGUGAAACGGAAGCUUCUAGUUCACCGAAGAUGGGCCAGAGGGGGGCCAGGGGCCGUCCACGCAACCUGCUGGCGCGGCCUACCCCAUCGUCGUGCCAGGAGGCCGCCUGGGUGGGCCUCACCGCCUCUGUUUCCCUCCUUUGGCCUAUAUUUAGAGCCCCGAGAGGAAACCCUUCCACAACUUCCAAAAUCGCGAAUUUCUCCAUCGUUCUGCCGCCGCGGCACUUCCGAGACCGGGAGCGUCACGAGACCUCUUCCCGGCACCUUGCCGGAGGGAAGAUUGACCUCCGGGAGCUUCUCCACCGCCAUGGACACUUCCCGGACGUGCCGUGAGUAGUCCUCCUUGGACCAUGAGUCCAUGACCAGUAUCUAUGUGAUGUCUUCUCUCCAAUCUUGUGCUUCAAUGGUUAGUCCUGGUGAGCUGCCCUACAUGAUCAAGGCAUCUAUGUAAUUCUCUUGCUAUUGCUAUGCUUGGUUUGUUGGGAUCUGAUGGAUUAUGAGAUUAUGUUCAAAUUGUUAUGUGUUAUAUAUUUGAUUAUCCGUUUAUAUUAUGUUCCUUAGUUUUCCAGUGUUGCAAGGUAUAAAAUUGAGUAAGACACAGUGCCCAGCAACUGCGGAAGAUAGAGAAUAGAUGAGUUCCGUCCCCUAUGCUUCAGCCAUAGGUUCUAUCAUGUAUGCAAUGUUGUGCACUAGACCGGACGUCAGCUUGGCCAUAAGUAUGGCAUUGUCACAUCCCUGGAACCCUAGCCAAGGUUUAGCAUUGUGCUCAUAUUUUCUUUGCAUUGCAUCGAAGAAAAUGGCAACAAGAUCAAAGUAAGUGGUGAAGGGAAACUCAAAACCCUAGCCACUUCUCAAAUUCAAAGGAAUUACAAAUUUAUUCAAAUCAAUGAACCCAAUAUGGCCUCAAGAAAAGUUCAACUUUUCUGAUAAUUCUUGAAAACAAAUAAGCAAUGAAGAAAACCAUUUUCUUAAUACUUUUGGCAUUUUAAAUAAAUGCAACAGACUACUGGUUUCAAGUUUAAAAUUUGAAUUCAAAAACUUUAAGUUUUCAAAAAUGUUGAAAACUUCAAGGAUGGUUGGAUAUAUCCCAACAAAUACUCUGGUGUGCUCAAAAUAUUUUUUGUAAACCAUUUUGGAGCUGAAAUAAAUAGCCAAUCAAUUAGUUAGCAAAACAGAAAACAAAACAGAGAAAAAAAAAGAAGAAUGCUUACCUGAUGCUCACUGGCCCAGGCCCAGUCGCUCUGUCGUCUUCCUCCUCGCUACUAGGAGCAGGAGGUGGCCUCCGCGACGCCGCACGCCUCCACGUAGCUCCCUGCCUGCCUGGACGCCGCCUCGCGCUGGCAAGCGCGGGGAUAACCUCCCCGAGCCCGUCUCUAUCCCUUCCCGUGCCCCAGUUUCCACCCUCCUCUCGGGAUCUCUCCUCACUCCUCCUGCCGCCAUUUCCAAGAGCUAGAGCUCGAGCCGCCGUGCCCCUAGCCACAGGACCUUCCUCCCGAGUAGUCCAGUAGCUCCGCCUCGACGAGCUGGUUCUCCCUGCAAAGGCCGAAGCCUCCCCGAGCCCUGCAACGCCCCCAACGCCAUCGUCUUCAACCUUCGGCCGCCGACAAAUCGACGGUGAAACACCGGCUACAACCCCUCCCCGAGUAGUCUGAGCCUAGCUUCACCUCCACCGUGAGCCUGCGAUCAUUUCCCCUCUUCUUCCCCUCAGAUUCGUGCCCCCUACCCACUGGACCAUCGAACCCGAACUCCGGCAGCCGCCUCGGCUCAUCGCCGGCUUGCUCCGGCCACCCAUAGCCCUCCCUGAGGCGAGCGCUGGAUGAGGUCGAGCCUGGGGAUCAUCCCAGUGCUCUCGGCAACCGUUUUCGAGCACCACAGCACGAGAUAGCGCGUCUCCGGCGAAGUUCCGCCGCGGAUCUGGUCGCCGCCGGUCAGACUCCGGCGGGGGACGACGUGGCCGGCCUAACCCCAGUAGUUUAGCACUAAUCACUCGCUGACAGUGGGCCCGAGGCCAAGUCAAACCCACUUAGGGGCUGGUCAGCGCGGGAUUAGCUCCUGAGACGCUGACCAGUGGGUCCCCCUUGUCAGGUUUGACCUGAUCAGGUCAGUUGACCUGCUGACGCCAUGAUGAUGUAGUUAUGACGCAAUAAGUGAAUUUCUGAUUUAAAAGAAUUCCAAAAAAAUGCCAAAAAUUCUAAAAAUCAUAGAAAUUAAUCCGUAACACAAAUGAAAAUAAUUUAUAUAUGACAAAGUAUCAGAAAAAUUCAAGGAAUAUGAAUAUGUCAUUUUCAAACAUGUUUGGAAAUGUCACUGAACCCAAACAUGUAGAUUAAUGAAUAAGUUAAUUCUUAUAAAUACUUUGCAGAUGGAAUUUGGAAAUUAUUUAAAUUUCACUACAAAUUAUAUGAUCAAACACUGUCCAAAUCACAAACCAGCAACCUAACAUGUCACUCCAUGCAUGUUAAAAGCAAGUUGAUCUGAGCAUCAGGUCGAAUCAAUUAAAAUGGUAUCCGAGAAUACCUCGUUUGAAGUAAUAUUUGAAUUUGAUUCAAAUCAACUUCAAACCUAAUAAAUGUUAGCUAUAAUAGUAUACCACUUUGCAUCCUCAUGCCAUGCCCAUGCAUCAUCUUGUUGCAUAUGCUUGUGAUUGAUUGUUGUCACUCUUUUCGGUAGGCUCCGCUCCUUCGGAUUCCACCGAAUAUCCGAUUGACGGAUAUUGUCCCUCCUCUGAGCAACAAGGCAAGCAACCAUUUUGAUCAUCCCGAUAAAUCCCAUGUUCUCGCUUCUGCACUUACUUAUUGCAUUAGGAUCAAAUGCUCAAAUGCUUUUGCCACGUUAGUUGAACCCACUUCCUUUGCAUGACCUGUCUUUGUCACAGUAAAUAGCUGAACCUUGCAACCUAGCAUACCUGGUAGAUGCUUGAGCCAUGAUGUGCCUUAUCCUGCUAUACAUGCUAUGCUUAGAGUUGUGUUUGGUAUGUCAUCUGGGAGAUGAACAGAAUUGUGAGAAUGCGUUCAGUAAGUAAAGGCGGUGUGUUGAACCUGAUUUGGUAAAGGUACCGGUGAAAGGCUAUGUAGGAAUACAUGGCGGGUUGUUUCAUUGGAACCGUCCUUAGGAACUGAGUUCCGUGUAUGUAAUCCAAGACUGGAUACUACCACACGUUGGGAUACUUAAUUGACCCUCUCGACUUAUUAAUCGCUUAGUACUCGGUCCAGGAGUUGCAAGUAGUUUCUGGUGUUUAUAGUCAUGCUGGAGGCCGUGCAUAGCGCUGACCUGAGAGGUGGGCUGUGAUGCGGUAGGCAGUGGCAUGGUGUACCAAGUGGCACCCGGAUGGUGGGCUUGGGAACCCUACGCACAUCGUUUGAGGCCGUGGCGGAAACCUCGGCCGGAGUUCCGUGCGGGUUACUCUCAGAUAGGCGAUAAACCUGGACUAGGUACUAGUGUGAUUAACGGUCGUGGCCGACUCCCUCGCUGGGCUUCCGCUUGAAGGUUGCCGAGGUGCAUGACGUGCACAUGGCGAUAAGUGGCGAGAGCGUGUGUGACGAAGUACACCCCUGCAGGGUUAUGAUCUAUUCGAAUAGCCGCGUCCGCGGAUAUGGACUACUUGGAGACAUAUGUUGUUCAUAGAUAACUUCAAUGGCUACUCAUAAAAUUGUCAAGAUAAGCGUGAGUGUCGUGGAUGGCAUUUCCGUAUGGAGACGGAAUGAUUCCACGAUGGAGUAUUGUUGUGGUGUUAGUGGACUCGUGUGCGAGAAAUCAAGUUGUCAAAAAUUGUUUUAAAAUGUAAGUUGUCUAGCCACGAGUCAAAUGCUGGCUUUCCGCAUGAAACCCCACAAUACCUUAUUGAUACAUUGCAUGAGUAGAUAGUUAUCCUAAAGUCUUGCCGAAUACCUCCGUACUCAUGUUUGUUUAAUAAUUGUUGCAGAGGUUGUUAAUGACCCUAACGGAGGGUUCUUCGUAGACAUCGACGACGACGAGUAGCUGGUGUCCCAGCUACGAUCUGGCCCUAGGUUGGGUCUGUAGUAUAGUCAGGCCGUGUGCCCUCUAGUUUCACCUGUCUGUACUCAGACAGUUUUAAACACUUCCGCUGGCUUGUAACUGAAUGACUGCUAUGAUGGUCGUGAGACCCUUACUGUGUAAUAUUAUGUGUGUGGCUCUUCUGAGCCUUUUAAAUAAAGCUUGUAUGUUUAUGGUUAUGUUGUGAUGCCAUCGAUGUAUCUAUACAUAUCGGCAUGCCAUGCGUACGUGUGUCGUACUUGAUAUGUAUGGGGUUUCGGUUACCUAGCCGUAAACUUUAGUAGCACUCCUUACAGGGAAAUGCCCCUUUGUGAUCCAUCGAGCCAUGGUAGUUUACUACUGCUCCGGACACAUUGGUUGACCGGCGUGUGUCCUUCUUAGCUGCUGUGUCUGUCCCCUCUGAGGAAAUGUCAAGCGAUGUAAUGGAGUCCUUGUAGCUUGCUACGACUCGUCUACAUUCGCUGGUGAUCGACACCUGCUUUGCUGGGUCAUGUAUGCCUAUCCCUGUGCGGAACUGCCACUUUGGUUUAUGACUAGACAUGUCGAUCCGGGUUCUUUGUCAUUGGAUUGCUAGCGACACAAUUGCAUACGUGAGUCAAAAGGCGCAAACGGUCCCGGCUAAGGUAAGGCUGCGGCCGUGGGGUUAACCGUGCGUGAGACCGCAAAGGGAUGCGAUGUGUUACAUGCUGGAUUCCUAUGGCUUAGGAUCGGGGUCCCGACAGCGUUGGUAUCCGAGCCUGACUGACUGUAGGACUACUAAGCCAAACUGGUCGAAGUUGAGUCUAGAAUUGCUUUAGUUAUACCUAAGGGAAUUGUUUGUGGAAGGGAACGUAAGACUCUUGUUCUCUUCUCAAGUUAUUCUAUUCUGGUCAUCCUCGUUUUUUUUCUGCGGGAAUUAAGGACUAUAUUACUCAUCUUCUUCUAGGCUCGUGUUUCUGAUCGAUAGAUUAUAGGACUACGGGUCGAGAGUUGUAUUGGGUUCCUUUUAUUCCUAGGAAAAAGGAAGUAAGUUUGAUGAUCAGAGACUUGAACUUGAUAGUUGAGUGGUUACGCUAUUCCAUUUUGGGUUGUCUCAAAUUUGUUUUUGAGCAUUUACACCCGUUAUGCUGCCCAAUUUUGCAUUCAGAGCUCUAAUGCUUUUGCAUUACUCUCUAUUUUCAUAUGCCUGGCCGUCCUUCUCGUCAUGUGGUACGUCUGACCAGGUGCAUGUUGGAAUUAUGCCCUAGAGGCAAUAAUAAAUAUAGUUAUUAUUAUAAUUCCUGUAUCAAGAUAAACGUUUAUUAUCCAUGCUAUAAUUGUAUUGAAUGAAGACUCAUUUACAUGUGUGGAUAUAUAGACAAAACACUGUCCCUAGCAAGCCUCUAGUUGGCUAGCCAGUUGAUCAAAGAUAGUCAGUGUCUUCUGAUUAUGAACAAGGUGUUGUUUCUUGAUAACUGGAUCACGUCAUUAGGAGAAUCACGUGAUGGACUAGACCCAAACUAAUAGACGUAGCAUGUUGAUCGUGUCAUUUUGUUGCUAUUGUUUUUCUGCGUGUCAAGUAUUUGUUCCUAUGACCAUGAGAUCAUAUAACUCACUAACACCGGAGGAAUACUUUGUGUGUAUCAAACGUCGCAACGUAACUGGGUGACUAUAAAGAUGCUCUACAGGUAUCUCCGAAGGUGUUCGUUGAGUUAGUAUGGAUCAAGACUGGGAUUUGUCACUCCGUGUGACGGAGAGGUAUCUCAGGGCCCACUCGGUAAUACAACAUCACACACAAGCCUUGCAAGCAAUGUGUAUUCCUUUUAACUCCUUGUGAUUUCCUACAACAAUGGAGUCAAGGUGUUUCGAUGUCCCGACACCAAAAUAGUUGUGCACAUUUACGUCGGGUUUUGGAUGAUGAGCAUCCGGUGAGGUGUCUUUCAACAUGAUGUUGAAUUCAUUUAUUGGUUGAGGAUUUGAUUUCCUCUGUUUCCGCGGAAGCAUAUGCGAGAUUAUAUCUCCUGUGGUCAGAUUUCUCCCCCUAUUGCUCUCAUUUGGGGACAUGAGUGGUUUAUGAGGUACCUCCACUCUUUCUGACACUUUACUACAGGAAUAUAAAAUUGAGUGACACCCUCGUCAUCAGUAAACGUAUGUGGCAGAUUUGCAAUGAGUUCCAAAUAUGUGAUUCUAAACUUCUAGUUCAGAUUCUUUGAGUGCGUGGAUAUAAGGACUGAAUGUCAAUAACAUUUCUAAUUUAUUUCUCGGCGUUCUUUGUGGUACUAAUCUCCCCCUAAUGCCAGAAAUGUCCUUAUUGCUGAUGCAAUCAACAUAGAGGCUAUGAAUAAUUUUGAUUGAUGAAAUAAUAUUAUUCCUUACAUAGAUCCCUAAUUUUCUGUGAGGGCCCAUUGAUGCAUGCUGGAGUGGUGAUAUCGGUAUGUAACCGAAUUAUCGCAGAUAGGAAAUACUUUGUUGAUUUCCACGUAAUUACUACAAGGGGAAAGUAGGAUGAUAUGCAGUUGGUAUGAUUUAGAUCAUACUUACGGUGUGUAAGGUCGUAGUUGUCCAGCAAGAGGCUGGUAAAUUUACAAUUCUAUAAGUUUGGUCAUGUUUAUUAAUUUCACUAUCUUUGAUAAGAUUUUUAACUAAAUCAUUCUCGGUAUGUACAUAAAGUAUUAUAUAUAAUAUGACAUUGCUUGCGAAAUGAGUUCAACGAAGUUGUCCAUUCGAAUGGAUUUAUCCCUUGUUUAGGAUAACUUGCUCUUACUUUGAGAAUUUGAGCAACUAAUUUAGUUAUAUCAUUCAUGGUUUUGUGUGACAAGAGACACACUAGAAAUCAUUUUAUAAAUGUUUCCAUGAGUACCAUGAAGUAUCUAUAUAAUACCACAUAAUGGUUGAGUAAUCCACAUAUCUUCUGAAUGUGUUCGAGGAAGAAUGAGUGACUCAUUUGAAUUUUUAAGGUGAGAGAGCCUUAAAACUUAUUUCCCCUAUGGCACAUGCAGUGCACAUAAAAUCUGUUGAUUUGGAAAAUAUUAUAACUUAAAACGUUAUGACCAAUAGAAUUACCAAUAAUUUUUCUAAUCAGUCCCAAACCAGGAUUGUAAGGCUUAAAGCCAAAUAUUUUGUAAGAUUUAGAAAAUUAUUUUGUACGCAACAAAACUGAGUAUGAUUUGAUUCAAACAUUCAAAAAAUUAUCUAAUAUAAUGUCCAUGAAGUAGGAUAUUGGAUAUUGCACUACAUGCAGUAGUACAAGUAUAGGCAAACAAUAUUUUGAGAAUAAUCGGGAUAUUACAUGAGGUCUCCCAUAUUACUGAAAAUGAAUUACGCAAACAUAUCAUAGGCACAAAAGAAUUGAUCAUUCUUUUAUUGCACUAUAUUUUUGGUUCUCCUUGUUAUGAAGAUUUGAGAACAUCAUUUACCAGAAUAUUUUCUGGUUGUAUGUUUGCAAAUUUUCGAAUAUCCCAAUGAACUUAUUUGCCUUUUAAUAAAUUUGCAAUGUGGUUUGACCAUAUGUUUGAGAGUUUGGUAAUCAUAUGUACGAUAUUUAUGUAACCACACAUUUGACAAACUUGAGAGUUGUCUUUGUGAUCAUUUGAAAAUGAUCUAUUCGUAUUAAGAGGUAAUUAUGUCUUUGGUUGUCUUUUAGCCACCAUUUUACUUUGAAGUCCUCAUGGAUAUAUUUCGUCGCCACUGACUUGGUAUUCACUACCAACAAGAUUUUCAAAUGAUGAUAUAGCACCUGUGGGGUGAGUCUGAUGAUUUUAAGAAAUUCCAUGUUCCUUCAUCAUGGAAAAUGGUAGUACCAUCAUUAGAGGAUGUAAAGUGUAUUAAUGGAUUUUCAAUCGGAUCUGCAUAUGAAGAUUUUGAUCAUGAGAUCUCAACUUGAAGUUGAUUAAGGUGACAGAAUUGUGAGCCGCGAUAAGACUUGAUGUCUUUGAAAAACGAAUGGGAGAUCAUUCGCGAUGUGCUCAUGGCAGGAUGUUUCUCUUAAGCGAAUAUUCAAGGUGAUCUAUAUUCAUCCAUUAUGUACUUAGUUUGAGAACCAAGUGAAGUUGGUGACAUAUAAAAUGCAUAUGUGCAUCAAUAGAAUAGCCAUGUGUUACAUGAAAUGAUCAUGCAUUAUUCAAUUUACUUCUUCGAGUAAAAUAAAAUAUAUGGAUGAAAUGAUUUUGUUGAGCAAAAUCUGCCAAGGUGAUGCUUGGUGAACAUGGGUGUAAACCUUUAAUAUAGUGCAUGCGAUAAAUCGUUGCUAAAGUUUUGGCCUUCAUUCAUGAGAAAAAAAUGUGACUUUAGAGUCACGGCCAAAACAUAGACUUUACAUGUUUAACAUUGGUUAGUCACUAUGAAAGUAUAACCACAAUGUGAUGUGGACCUUGCAGAAGUGUUGAGACACUCAAUCGUUGCCAUAAAUUAAGGGACCCAUCUUGAUGGAUGGACGACAUUAUCAUUAGAAAUAGUGGCGUAGGCUCAACUGCCAUUAUAUAACCAAUGUAAUAGAAGGUAAUCACACAUAUAUGCGAAUAUUUUCGUAGUUUCCCAUGAAAAAUUCAAGCAAAGUGUGCAAGAAUAAUAUUUACUGAGAGUAAAAUAUUUUAGUGAACAACAACAAUAAAUGCUUUGGAGGAGCAAAUUCUAGUAAGGCUGAUGCCUUAUAGCCAUAUGUGUAGACCUCAAUUUAUAUAGGAUAACACUUUGAAGAUAAUCACCAAUAUGGUGUAGAUCUCGCAGUAAUAGCAAACAUAGUCUGACUUUUGUGAGUAGAUGUUCAUAAUUCUAUUACCUUAUGUUAUACUAUAUUUAAGAAAAUCACUUUGAAGGUAAUCAUCUUGCAAACUGACAAGAUGUAGACCUUACACUAGUGAUGAAUAAUCUGCGAAUUGUGCAGUAGAUGUCAUCAAUAACUUGUGAUUCACAAAUAAAAAUUUAGGCUAUAUACACAUUGAUAUUUGGAAGAGCACGUUGAAGAUAUUCAUCUUAUCAAAUAACAAGACGUAGGCCUUACGGUAAUGAUGAAUAAUCUGCAAACUAUGCAGUAGAUGUCAUCAAUACCUUGUGAUUCGCAAAAAAAAAUUGAUGAUGAUACUCAUUAUGAAACUUGUAACUCCGAUUUAAACUACAUUUAGAUCCAAAAAGGAAAUAAAAAUCCAUUGGAAAUAUAUAAUUGUUGUAUUGAAAAUCCAAAGUGCCUUAUAUCUGAUGGCUUGAUUACAAAAUAUAGUAAUCUAGUGAAACGUAAAGUUUGUUAGCCUGAAGGCUGACCAAAAAGUACAUGAAUUUAGCAAUACCCGAUGGAUGUCCUGCAGAACCAGAACAUGAGUGACGUAUCAGCAUUUUCAUGGACUUGUGUGUAGUUCGAAUGAAUUCCGAGCACUAAAUUGCAAAAUAGCCAAAGGGAUAAGAUUUCCUAAUCUUUCUCCCGUGUGGUUCUCCUGUGCAGUUCAUGGAGUACGCCCCUACACAUAGCACGCUUGAAGAUGACGACACGCCAGACGUCGAUGGCCUCCGUGGCUGCGCCUGGGAGCGUCGCCAUCGGGAAGCCGCCGCUUGGCUGGAAGGGCUCGUUGCGCCGCGCGCUGUCGGAGGGCGUCGUGUCGCCCGCGUGCUGGAAGAGCCGUGCCAGGGGCGCGGGCACUCGCGCCGUGCUAGCCGUCCGCAUAGCCUCUUCGGAGGCAAGGCUAGAAUCGUCGGGCGCCAUAUUGUGCUGCAGUGCCUGGAGGUUUCUAUGGCCGCCGGCCGCCUCCGAGAAGGCCGAUGGCCAUGGUUGCGCUGGACAGCGUUACGUCGCCGUUGGCCUUGUCCAGCAGGUUAGUAUUCGUGUGUGAGAACAAGAAAAAUUGGAUUAGGAUCAACUCAUGUUGUAGCAAUUAAGGUUCAAGAGUUUUGAUCUGUGUACUUCGUGUGUGAAGUAUGCUACUAGUUCGUGAGUUGACUCCCCUUUUUUCUUAUUCGAUUUAUGCUUCCUGAUUCAUGUUCUUCUUGAUUUUUAUCUGUUCUUGAUAAGGAAAUACACAGUUCUUCCUCCUGUACUUCUUGUUUGCGAUUCCCAAAAUACAAGUAGUUAUUAGAUCUUAGAUUGAUUGCAAGAAAACAAAGACAAAUUGAACAA